rnacentral:snRNA from 1 species
CUACUCACCUGGGGCCGGGGCCUCGUUGAUCACCGAGGAUGAGCCCCCAGGGAGAAGCGCGGGCAUUGCACUGCGCUCGCGUUGACCUUUGCCACUACCCCAAACUGGGGCAAAUUGGGCAUGAAAAUUGCUCAAAUCCGGUUCAACGCAAGAGAGGGCGCCACCGCC